rnacentral:rRNA from 1 species
AGGUUAAGUUAAAAAGGGCGCAUGGUGAAUGCCUUGGCACUAGAAGCCGAUGAAAGACGGGACUAACACCGAUAUGCUUCGGGGAGCUGUACGUAAGCUUUGAUCCGGAGAUUUCCGAAUGGGGAAACCCAGCAGCUUUAAUCAGCUGUUACUAUAUAGUGAAUUCAUAGCUAUAUAGAGGUAGACGUGGGGAACUGAAACAUCUCAGUACCCACAGGAGCAGAAAGAAAUUUCGAUUCCCUAAGUAGCGGCGAGCGAACGGGGAACAGCCCAAACCAACGAGCUUGCUCGUUGGGGUUGUAGGACUGAACAUUUGAGUUACCAAAGUUGUUGAUAAUCGAACAAUCUGGGAAGGUUGGCGAAACAGGGUGAUAGCCCCGUAGGUGAAAUCAAUGACCCUCAGUUCAGGAUCCUGAGUACGGCGACACACGUGAAACGUCGUCGGAAUCCGGGAGGACCAUCUCCCAAGGCUAAAUACUCUCUAGUGACCGAUAGUGAACCAGUACCGUGAGGGAAAGGUGAAAAGCACCCCGGAAGGGGAGUGAAAUAGUUCCUGAAACCAUGUGCCUACAAGCAGUUAGAGCCCGUUAAUGGGUGAUAGCGUGCCUCUUGUAGAAUGAACCGGCGAGUUACGGUAACAUGCAAGGUUAAGGUUUAAAAGCCGGAGCCGCAGCGAAAGCGAGUCUGAAAUGGGCGUUUGAGUAUGUUGCUGUAGACCCGAAACCAGGUGAUCUACCCAUGUCCAGGCUGAAGGUGCGGUAAAACGCACUGGAGGGCCGAACCCGUGUACGUUGAAAAGUGCUGGGAUGAGGUGUGGGUAGCGGUGAAAUUCCAAACGAACUUGGAGAUAGCUGGUUCUCUCCGAAAUAGCUUUAGGGCUAGCCUCGGACGUAGAAUCAUGGAGGUAGAGCCACUGUUUGGAUGAGGGGCCCGUCAUGGGUUACUAAGUUCAGAUAAACUCCGAAUACCAUUGAUUUUUAUCCGGGAGUCAGACGGUGAGUGAUAAGAUCCAUCGUCAAAAGGGGAACAGCCCAGACCACCAGUUAAGGUCCCUAAAUAUAUGCUAAGUGGAAAAGGAUGUGGAGUUGCAUAGACAACUAGGAUGUUGGCUCAGAAGCAGCCAUCAUUUAAAGAGUGCGUAAUAGCUCACUAGUCGAGUGAUUCCGCGCCGAAAAUUUACCGGGGCUAAGCAUAUUACCGAGACUGUGGACUUGACCUUUGGUCAAGUGAUAGGAGAGCGUUCUAAGGGCGAUGAAGCCAGACCGUAAGGACUGGUGGAGCGCUUAGAAGUGAGAAUGCCGGUAUGAGUAGCGAAAGAUCAGUGAGAAUCUGAUCCACCGAAUGACUAAGGUUUCCUGGGGAAGGCUCGUCCUCCCAGGGUUAGUCGGGACCUAAGCCGAGGCCGAAAGGCGUAGGCGAUGGAUAACAGGUUGAGAUUCCUGUACUAGUUGAUGAUGUUUGAGCGAUGGAGGGACGCAGGAGGCUAAGUUGUGCAUCCAGUUGGAAAGGGAUGUUCAAGCAACGAGUCAGUCAAUGAGUUAAAUGCUUAUUGGCGGGUUGACAAGUUGUGAUGAGGACCGAAAUUUAAGUAGGGAAGCAACCAACGUCACACUGCCGAGAAAAGCUUCUAGUGAGUCAUCAACUACCCGUACCGCAAACCGACACAGGUAGUCGAGGAGAGAAUCCUCAGGUGAGCGAGUGAACUCUCGUUAAGGAACUCGGCAAAAUGACCCCGUAACUUCGGGAGAAGGGGUGCUGUGCGCAAGCACAGCCGCAGUGAAAAGGCCCAGGCGACUGUUUAUCAAAAACACAGGUUUCUGCAAAAUCGUAAGAUGACGUAUAGGGGCUGACGCCUGCCCGGUGCUGGAAGGUUAAGUGGAUGAGUUAGCUUCGGCGAAGCCCAGAAAUGAAGCCCCAGUAAACGGCGGCCGUAACUAUAACGGUCCUAAGGUAGCGAAAUUCCUUGUCGGGUAAGUUCCGACCCGCACGAAAGGCGUAACGAUCUGGGCACUGUCUCAACGAGAGACUCGGUGAAAUUAAGAUACCUGUGAAGAAGCAGGUUACCCGCGACAGGACGGAAAGACCCCAUGGAGCUUUACUGUAGCUUGAUAUUGGGUGUUGACACAGCUUGUACAGGAUAGGUAGGAGCCAUUGAAGCCGGAACGCUAGUUUCGGCGGAGGCGUUGGUGGGAUACUACCCUCGCUGUGUGAACACUCUAACCCGCGCCACUCAGCGUGGCGGGAGACAGUGUCAGGUAGGCAGUUUGACUGGGGCGGUCGCCUCCCAAACAGUAACGGAGGCGCCCAAAGGUUCCCUCAGAAUGGUUGGAAAUCAUUCAACGAGUGUAAAGGCAGAAGGGAGCUUGACUGCGAGACAGACAGGUCGAGCAGGGACGAAAGUCGGGCUUAGUGAUCCGGUGGUACCGUAUGGAAGGGCCAUCGCUCAACGGAUAAAAGCUACCCUGGGGAUAACAGGCUUAUCUCCCCCAAGAGUCCACAUCGACGGGGAGGUUUGGCACCUCGAUGUCGGCUCAUCGCAUCCUGGGGCUGUAGUCGGUCCCAAGGGUUGGGCUGUUCGCCCAUUAAAGCGGUACGCGAGCUGGGUUCAGAACGUCGUGAGACAGUUCGGUCCCUAUCCGUCGCGGGCGUAGGAAAUUUGAGAGGAGCUGUCCUUAGUACGAGAGGACCGGGAUGGACAUACCGCUGGUGUACCAGUUGCGCCGCCAGGCGCACCGCUGGGUAGCUACGUAUGGAUGAGAUAAACGCUGAAAGCAUCUAAGUGUGAAACUCACCUCAAGAUGAGAUUUCCCAUUCCUAUAUGGAAGUAAGACCCCUGAGAGAUGAUCAGGUAGAUAGGUUGGAAGUGGAAGUGCAGUGAUGUACGGAGCGGACCAAUACUAAUCGGUCGAGGACUUAACCAAG